UACGUAGGGUGCGAGCGUUGUCCGGAAUUAUUGGGCGUAAAGAGCUCGUAGGCGGUUUGUUGCGGUCUAUCGUGAAAACCUGCAGCUUAACUGUGGGCUUGCGGUGGAUACGGGCAGACUUGGAGUUCGGUAGGGGAGACUGGAAUUCCUGGUGUAGCGGUGAAAUGCGCAGAUAUCAGGAGGAACACCGGUGGCGAAGGCGGCAUCCUGGACCAACACUGACGCUGAGGAGCGAAAGCCAGGGGAGGCAAACGGG
rnacentral:rRNA from 1 species